rnacentral:RNase_P_RNA from 1 species
GGAGUAGGCUGGGUGACCGCGGAGAUUCGUGGGAAUCUUUGAGGAAAGUCCGGGCUCCACAGGGCAGGGCGCUGGAUAACGUCCAGUAGGGGCGACCCUCAGGCUAGUGCCACAGAAAUGUAGACCGCUAAGCCCCGGUAUCUGGGGCCAGCAAGGGUGCAACGGUGGGGUAAGAGCCCACCAGCAGCACGGUGACGUGCUGGCUAGGUAAACCCCGCUUGGAGCAAGACCGAAUAGGGAAGCAGGUGCUCGACACCACUGGCGGCCCGUCAGAAGCUUCCGGGUAGCGUCGCUAGAGGUGAGUGGCAACACUCAUCACAGAUAGAUGGUCACCUCCACCACGGUGGAACAGAACCCGGCUUACAGGUCUGCUCCAGAC